rnacentral:tRNA from 1 species
AGGAAGUGGUGUAGUGGAAGCA